rnacentral:rRNA from 1 species
UCCUACGGGAGGCAGCAGUGGGGAAUAUUGCACAAUGGGCGCAAGCCUGAUGCAGCCAUGCCGCGUGUAUGAAGAAGGCCUUCGGGUUGUAAAGUACUUUCAGCGGGGAGGAAGGGAGUAAAGUUAAUACCUUUACUCAUUGACGUUACCCGCAGAAGAAGCACCGGCUAACUCCGUGCCAGCAGCCGCGGUAAUA